rnacentral:rRNA from 1 species
GAUGAACGCUGCCAGAAUGCUUAACACAUGCAAGUCAACUUGAACUUCGGUUUGGGUGGCGGACGGGUGAGUAACGCGUAAAGAACUUGCCUCACAGUUAGGGACAACAUUUGGAAACGAAUGCUAAUACCUGAUAUUAUGAUUUUAGGGCAUCCUAGAAUUAUGAAAGCUAUAUGCGCUGUGAGAGAGCUUUGCGUCCCAUUAGCUAGUUGGAGAGGUAACGGCUCACCAAGGCGAUGAUGGGUAGCCGGCCUGAGAGGGUGAACGGCCACAAGGGGACUGAGACACGGCCCUUACGCAUACGGGAGGCAGCAGUGGGGAAUAUUGGACAAUGGACCAAGAGUCUGAUCCAGCAAUUCUGUGUGCACGAUGAAGUUUUUCGGAAUGUAAAGUGCUUUCAGUUGGGAAGAAAAAAAUGACGAUACCAACAGAAGAAGUGACGGCUAAAUACGUG